rnacentral:pre_miRNA from 1 species
GUGAAAUUUCGGAGCGCGUUCUGCGAAAUUUCGCAGUGCGUUGCGCAAAAUUAAGGACUGCUUUCUGCGAAAUUUCGGAAUGCGUUCUGCGAAAUUUCGAA